rnacentral:rRNA from 1 species
UACGUAUGUCGCAAGCGUUAUCCGGAUUUAUUGGGCGUAAAGCGCGUCUAGGUGGUUUGGUAAGUCUGAUGUGAAAAUGCGGGGCUCAACUCCGUAUUGCGUUGGAAACUGUCAAACUAGAGUACUGGAGAGGUGGGCGGAACUACAAGUGUAAAGGUGAAAUUCGUAGAUAUUUGUAGGAAUGCCGAUGGAGAAGUCAGCCCACUGGACAGAUACUGACGCUGAAGCGCGAAAGCGUGGGUAGCAAACAGG